AAUUUUUAUAUUAUGAUUAAAAAUAUGUUUAUAAAUUAUUAAUAAAUGUAAUUUAUUUUUUAUUAAUAUUUAAAAUUUAAUAAAAUUUUAUAGUAAAUAAGUACUUUGAAGGAAUUAUGUAAUUAAAUUAAUUAUAUAUAGAAAUUUUAAAAUUAUUUACCUUUUGUAUCAGGGAUUAAUAAAUAAUAAUAAUAUUUUAAAUUUCCCGAAUAUAAAAUUGAGCUAAUUAUUUUUUUUAUUAUUGUUGCCAAAAUUAUUAAUUAAUUAUAAUUAGAUGUGAAAUGCUAUUCGUAAUUUAAUAUAUCUAGUUAUUUGAGGUUUAAAAUUUAUUUUUGAUAAAUGUUAAAGGGAUAAUUUUUUAAUUUUUUUAUAAAAUUUAUAAUAAUUAAUUUAUAUAUUGAUUUAGUAGUAAUAAUUAUUUUAAGUGUGUAUUUACUUGGUUAUUAGUAGUUUUUUAUUUUUAAAAUAUUAUAUUAAUUAAUUUUUUUUAAUAGUGAUAAUGUUAAUAUUAGUAUAUGGUAUUUAUAAAUAAAUUAUAUUAGUAAUUAAAAUUUUAAAUGAAGGAAUUCGGCAAACGUUUUUUUCGCCUGUUUAUCAAAAACAUGUUUUGAUGAUAAUUAAUAUUAAAUUUGCCCUGCUCUAUGAUUAGUAAAUUAAAUGGCUGCAGUAAAUUGACUGUACAAAGGUAGCAUAAUAAUUUGUCUUUUAAUUGAAGACUGGAAUGAAUGGGUGGACGGAGAAAUUCUAUCUAAGUUUUUAUUAUUGAAUUUUACUUUUGUGUUAAAAGGCUUAUUAUUUAAAUUUUAUUAAGGGACGAGAAGACCCUGUCAAGUUUUAUAAUUUUAAUUUAUAAUUUCAUUAUUAUAAAUUAUUAUUAUUUUUCUGGGGCGGAACUAAUAUAAACUAUUAGAAAUUUUAUAAUUAUUGAAUUUAUUAUUGAUCUUAAUUAAUACUAAUUAAAAAAUUACUGCAGGGGUAACAGCAUAAUUAUUUUGGUAAGUUCAAAUUUAUAAAAUAGAUUAUGACCUCGAUGUUGGAUUAAGUUUACCUAAAAUAAUGAAAAAGUUUUAAGGUUAGUCUGUUCGACUAUUAAAAAUUUACAUGAUCUGAGUUCAGACCGGCGUGAGCCAGGUCAGUUUUUAUCUUUAAUAAUUUUAAACUAAAAUAUUUAGUACGAGAGGACCAAUAUUUUUUAAUUAUUA
rnacentral:rRNA from 1 species